CCCGCCCCGGCGGGACGGACCGACCGGCGGACGGGGCACGGUCUGCGCGGCUCCAGGCAAAGGGAGAGCUGGAUUCGUGGCGCCGGUGGGAGCAGAGACGGAGAGAGGGCACACCUGAUGCGAACUCGGCUCGAGACCUGUGCCUAACAGGAAGAGAUGAGCUUUGGAAAGCAGGCACAAGAUGGCAAGAGGGAUGCCACGUGCUGCAGCAGCCUCAGGACAGAGGCAGUCUGGGAUUCACAGGCCUUGUGCAGGCUGAAAUGCCAGCAGACAUUACCGUGACAUGCAGCAUUACACAAGCGGCGUCACGCUCAGCUGAGCUUUGUGGAGGAUGUUGACAGAGCAGAGAAGAUUUCAGGUUAGCUCACAGAAAUCAUCUGAGAGCUCAAGACCUCAUCCCUCAGGGACUACAAGGCUUUAAUCAAGUUACAAAAACUCCAUAGGCACAUGGGAGUAGGUUUUAAGUAACCUGCUGGAUUGCAGAAGGAGAACCUGCAGAGAGAGCUCCAGGAAGGGGAAUUCUCCCUCUCCAGAGUGACCACAGCCAUAGGAGGGUCAAAGGUCAGUGCCUGGAGCCUGAUUUAUGACUGACCACUGUGAAGAGAUGCUUCCACACAGAUUUAUGGUCAGGAUCCCAUUACUGAGCGUGUUUGGUAGCUUGCAGGGCACUGGAGAAAUGGCCAAAGCUGGCUGUGGGUUAAUCCUGGAUCCUGCUCUGGAGCUAGUUGACAAAUGGUAAUAUGAAAGACUCGAUCUUGCUUCGAAGACUGUUUCCAUGCUAAGAGACAUCUCCAGCAGUGCUGUUACUGGCAGGCCUGCUGGUCUGUUUACUUCAAGAACAAACUAAUCUCUGGGCUGUAGCUAAGUAGAAACUGUAGGUUUCUGUUUAUGCUGUGAGCUUAACUGAAGUUUUAGCUAAAUAAAUAAUUUAUAGAGAACUGCA